CUGCUGCCUCCCGUAGGAGUUUGGUCCGUGUCUCAGUACCAAUGUGGGGGGUUAACCUCUCAGUCCCCCUAUGUAUCGUCGCCUUGGUAAGCCGUUACCUUACCAACCAGCUAAUACAACGCAUGCCCAUCUGUAACCGCCGAAACUUUCAACCACAAGAGAUGCCUCUCAUAGUGUUAUGCGGUAUUAGUACCGAUUUCUCAGUGUUAUCCCCCUGUUACAGGUAGGUUGCAUACGCGUUACGCACCCGUGCGCCGGUCGCCAU
rnacentral:rRNA from 1 species